CCUUGACAUCCAGAGAAUUUAGCAGAGAUGCUUUGGUGCCUUUCGGGAACUCUGAGACAGGUGCUGCAUGGCUGUCGUCAGCUCGUGUUGUGAAAUGUUGGGUUAAGUCCGCAACGAGCGCAACCCUUAUCCUUUGUUGCCAGCGGUUCGGCCGGGAACUCAAAGGAGACUGCCGGUGAUAAACCGGAGGAAGGUGGGGAUGACGUCAAGUCAUCAUGGCCCUUACGGCCAGGGCUACACACGUGCUACAAUGGCGCAUACAAAGAGAAGCGACCUCGCGAGAGCAAGCGGACCUCAUAAAGUGCGUCGUAGUCCGGAUUGGAGUCUGCAACUCGACUCCAUGAAGUCGGAAUCGCUAGUAAUCGUAGAUCAGAAUGCUACGGUGAAUACGUUCCCGGGCCUUGUACACACCGCCCGUCACACCAUGGGAGUGGGUUGCAAAAGAAGUAGGUAGCUUAACCUUCGGGAGGGCGCUUACCACUUUGUGAUUCAUGACUGGGGUGAAGUCGUAACAAGGUAAGCGUAGACGU
rnacentral:rRNA from 1 species